AUUGAACGCUGGCGGCAGGCCUAACACAUGCAAGUCGAACGGUAGCACAGAGAGCUUGCUCUCGGGUGACAAGUGGCGGACGGGUGAGUAACGUCUGGGAAACUGCCCGAUGGAGGGGGAUAACUACUGGAAACGGUAGCUAAUACCGCAUAACGUCGCAAGACCAAAGUGGGGGACCUUCGGGCCUCACACCAUCGGAUGUGCCCAGAUGGGAUUAGCUAGUAGGUGGGGUAAUGGCUCACCUAGGCGACGAUCCCUAGCUGGUCGGAGAGGAUGACCAGCCACACUGGAACUGAGACACGGUCCAGACUCCUACGGGAGGCAGCAUUGGGUAAUAUUGCACAAGGGGCGCAAGCCUGAUGCAGCCAUGCCGCGUGUAUGAAGAAGGCCUUCGGGUUGUAAAGUACUUUCAGCGGGGAGGAAGGCGGUGAAGUUAAUAGCUUCACCGAUUGACGUUACCCGCAGAAGAAGCACCGGCUAACUCCGUGCCUGCCGCCGCAGUAAUAC
rnacentral:rRNA from 1 species